GAUGAACGCUGGCGGCGUGCCUAAUACAUGCAAGUCGAGCGAACAGACGAGGAGCUUGCUCCUCUGACGUUAGCGGCGGACGGGUGAGUAACACGUGGACAACCUACCUAUAAGACUGGGAUAACUUCGGGAAACCGGAGCUAAUACCGGAUAAUAUAUUGAACCGCAUGGUUCAAUAGUGAAAGACGGUUUUGCUGUCACUAAUAGAUGGAUCCGCGCCGCAUUAGCUAGUUGGUAAGGUAACGGCUUACCAAGGCAACGAUGCGUAGCCGACCUGAGAGGGAGGUCGGACACACUGGAACAGAGACACGGUCCAGACUCCUGCAGGAAGAAGCAGUAGGGAAUCUUCCGCAAUGGGCGAGAGCCUGACAGAGCAACGCGGCGUAAGUGAUGAAGGACUUAGGCUCGUAAAACUCUGUUAUUAGGAGAGAACAAAUGUGUAAGUAACUGUGCUCGUCUUGACGGUACCUGGACAAAAAGCCACGGCUAACUACGUG
rnacentral:rRNA from 1 species